rnacentral:rRNA from 1 species
GACGAACGCUGGCGGCGUGCCUAACACAUGCAAGUCGAGCGAUGAAAUCCCUUCGGGGAUGGAUUAGCGGCGGACGGGUGAGUAACACGUGGGUAACCUGCCUCAAAGAGGGGGAUAGCCUCCCGAAAGGGAGAUUAAUACCGCAUAACAUUAGUUUUUCGCAUGGAGAACUAAUUAAAGGAGUAAUCCGCUUUGAGAUGGACCCGCGGCGCAUUAGCUAGUUGGUGAGGUAAAGGCUCACCAAGGCGACGAUGCGUAGCCGACCUGAGAGGGUGAUCGGCCACAUUGGAACUGAGACACGGUCCAGACUCCUACGGGAGGCAGCAGUGGGGAAUAUUGCACAAUGGGCGAAAGCCUGAUGCAGCAACGCCGCGUGAGUGAUGAAGGCCUUCGGGUUGUAAAGCUCUGUCUUUGGGGACGAUAAUGACGGUACCCAAGGAGGAAGCCACGGCUAACUACGUGCCAGCCGCCGCCGUAA